AUUGAACGCUGGCGGCAGGCCUAACACAUGCAAGUCGAGCGAGCGGCGGACGGGUGAGUAAUGUAUGGGGACUGCCCGAUAGAGGGGGAUAACUACUGGAAACGGUGGCUAAUACCGCAUACUAUCGGAUAACCCAUAUGGGAUUAGCUAGUUGGUGAGGUAAUGGCUCACCAAGGCGACGAUCCCUAGCUGGUCUGAGAGGAUGAUCAGCCACACUGGGACUGAGACACGGCCCAGACUCCUACGGAGGCAGCAGUGGGGAAUAUUGCACAAUGGGCGCAAGCCUGAUGCAGCCAUGCCGCGUGUAUGAAGAAGGCCCUAGGGUUGUAAAGCACUUUAAGUUGGGAGGCGUUACCAACAGAAUAAGCACCGGCUAACUUCGUGCCAGCCGCCGCGGUAAUUC
rnacentral:rRNA from 1 species